UUGGGGGGGGGGGGGGGGGUCCACUCUAAGCAGCUGGAAAGGCCAAAGCAUUGAAACGGGCAGGUGUUUGCCUAUUUAUUUUAAGUGAGAGCCAAGUGGAGAACAUAAACAGGCCCCAGGGAAGAUCAUUUCCAAGGCAAGUGGGGUUGAUGAAUGGUUGGUCGAGGCAACAUAGAGAAUGUAAUAUUUUGGGAUGCCAUUCCCUCCCCAGAAAUAAUCUACACCAGAAAGGUGCAUUUACAAACAUGUGCACACAAACACCCAAACAGGAGGAGGAGGGGGGGGGGUGAUACUGCUCUGUUGACAAAAUAUGCCUCCCCUGUGCCUCUAUCUAUGAGAAUUUCAAGGUCCCUAGAAGGAUAAUAUUAUUAUGAUGUUUAUGUUAUGUUUAUCAUAUUUAUUUAUGUUCUCCCUUUUCUCCACAAAGGAGAAUCAAAGGGCAGCUCGGCAUGGCUGCCUGAUGUUCUAGGGCUGCCUCUGAACCUCCUUAAAGUGAAAGGGAUGGAGAGCUAAAGAGGCAAGGAGGCCGGGGAGAAGCAGCCCAGGUCAAAGGCCUCCAGGAGGAAGGGCUGUGAGUGCGAAACACGCAACAGGAACCGAGGCUUUAAAAACAGUUCUUUACAACUAGGGCGAAUGAAGCCUGCCAUGGCUGCUCUCUCCAUCCCCUUUGUCUCCUGGUGCCAAGGCCUAUGGGUGAAUCCUACCGAUGGGCCUGUGCUUGUUGGGCCCCCUUGGUCUGCCCCAUUGCGGAGGCCCCUUCCCCAGCUGGGAAGAGGAAUCCCUAACCGAUCCAUCCCUGGCAUUUCAAUGGCUGCACGUUCAGUAAAUGAAUGACUUGGGCAGAAGGCUGCAAAAAUCCACUCCCUUCCCUUCCGCGUGUUUGCUCCACCCUCCACAGACACCAUCAGGGAAGAUUACUGUUCUGAGCAUUUUUCAUAAUCUAUUUUUAUUAAACACUAAUGCCAUUGCAAAGGAAAUGAACCAAAACAAAUCUUUUGCAGGGAGGUAGUUUUCUUUAAGAUGCAUUUUGGCGGGGAUUAGGAGGUCAGCAAAGGCACCCACACAGAUGCCCCCAAGGGAGGGGCCAGAGGGGGGGGUUGCAGCUGGACUUGAGGGGAGUGGGCGCUGAAGAGGGGGUCACCACAUAGAGGACCCUUCCUCUGGCCUAACUGGAGCCAGUCCGCUCAGUCAGACCCGAAUGGGAACUCCGGCUUGGCCUGGCCAGAUCGGCCAUUGCAAUGGUUCUAUGUUCUGCCUGGAACAAAAGGUGUCCAGAUGAGCCUUCCAAGCAGCUGGGACACUGCAGUCUGAGGACAUCUCACUGAUACCACAACAGAUCUUCAAGGAUGGCUCGAUUGUUCCAUUUCUCUGAUUUCUCAUUCUCAAGUUCAUCAGGCCCAAUGGCCUUUUUAGUUGUUUCCGAGUUUCCAGAGCUUUGUUCACCUCUCUUCAGAUUUGACGGUGUCUCUUGGCCUCACCUUCAGCUGACUCUUGACCCUUCCAUAGGAAACCUUGGUGCCCAUUGGCCGGAUGCUGGCUGCUCCCCCUGAGUGGCCCAGGCUUCCUGUGGAGAACAUUCCUGUGGGCCGGGCUGUGGCGCAGGCUGUUGAGCAACCAGCAGCAACAAAUCACUCUGACCAAGAGGUCAUGAGUUCGAGGCCAGCUCGGAGCCUGCGUUUGUCGCUGUCUUUGUUCUAUGUUAUGGCAUUGAAUGUUUGCCUUAUAUGUGUAAUGUGAUCCGCCCUGAGUCCCCUUCGGGGUGAGAAGGGCGGAAUAUAAAUACUGUAAACAAAUAAACAUUUGGGAACUCCAAAUCACUGGAGAGCAGCUACUGCGGGCUCUGAUGUGGGCCACAGGGCCCUUCCCUGCACAAAUGCCAGCAGCCUUGGAGGGCUUUCAUGGGGAGCCCCAUAUGGGCACAUGCACUGGCAUCAGUAUUGCAUGAGGGGUGGGCUGCUUCUAGUGCAGGCUUGGGCAAGCUUCAGCCCUCCCACUGGCUGUUAGAAAUUGUGGGAGGGCCAAAGUUUGCCCAUGCCUGUUCUACUGCAUGGCUAGGAACAUGGUGGGGAGGGGGCUUUUCCCAUAACCCCCCCUUCCCUUGUGACCCUGAGCUAGGGCUAAAUGAGCCUGCAUGUCAGAAAAGACGUUGCCGAGCCCAAGCAGAUGUCACCGAGGUCAUGCUGGCCACAGGGUGGGCGCACCCUCCCACACAUGGCACCCUCCCCUUGCCACAGAUCCUGGCAUGGAGGGAAAAGGAGCCCCCCACAUCCCACAGAAGAGCUUUCCCCCUAAAACUGACACAACCAAUAAAGGCAAAUAUAGCUUAGCUUUGCACAAAAAGGGGGGGGGAGAGGAGAGUAAUUUGACUGUGAGAGACAACAUUUCCUUUUCUGCCUAAUCCCCCUCAUGACAGAAGCACUUUCCUAUCAGUGAUUAUUUCUCAAUCUCAGCACUAAACAGGGAAGCAUGAUGUUAUCUCCUCAGCUGGGAGCAGCUCUUUGUGCUUGGAAAAUAUGGGAAGAAGGGCACCCUCUUGAAUGGGUCUGGCCACGUGAUCCAGCUGCCAACCUUGUGGCCUGGGAAUAUGCCCAUAACAUCUAGACUGCAGCCUAAUCUAGCAUACAGGGAAUAAUAUAUCAAAACAAGUCUCUUAUCAGCCUACUACUGCAACACAACAUAGGUUGGAAACAAGCAUAUGUUCAAAUUGAAAGGGGAUUUGCCACCAUGGCUUUGCUCUGAGGCUGAGAGCAUGUGACUUGCCCAAGGCCACCUGGUGGGUUUCCAUCUCCAAGCAGGGCUCUAAACCCUGGCCUCCAGUCGUUCUCCAUGGCUGGAUCCACUCGCUGCUCCACACUGGCUCUCUCCAACAGAGUCAACCACAAAAAACCCUCAGAGCCAUUGCAUGGGAAGGUAACAGGUAGCCCAAAUGUUCCACUGCGCACAGCGGGAAGACUUCAGAGAACAAUCAUUGUCGUGAUUGGCUUGAGUUAGACAGAGAUAGUGGAAAUCUUGCUUUGAUUUUUGAUUUUGAGAACUGACAGUGGAUGAGGCUAAAGAGGAGAUUAAAAGCACUGAAGGUCAAGCGGCAGCUGAGGCCGUGCUGCAGUUUGGAUGGCGCAGGCGCCCUUCCUGAUAAAGUGACCCUUUAGCCCAAUGUGCCACCCAUUAAGGCUGUUAUGGUUGAGCCUUCGGGCUCCGGUAAUAGAAGAAGGGGUCGUAAGACUCCUCGAGAGUCAGACUCCUUCGAGGAGCGUGAAAGAAAGCGGCUCCGGGAUUUGUUUGCAGAACCGACAGAUGAGGACUCAUUUGAGGGUUUUUCUGAGGGUUUGGAGGAAGAGAUGGCCAGCUCGGAGGACGACGACAUGGAAUGGACUCGUGUGAGGGAGGAUUUGGGUGUUGGGGAAACAGGCAAUGAAAACAUGGGAGGUGAUUGGCGGGUUGCAGGAUCAGACCCAUGGACUGGCUGGAGGGAUGGAGCGGGAUCCACAGCUGGGGAUGCUGUGGGGCGUAGUCAAAGGUGCUUAAGCUCUGAUGAGGAUGAUGAUGUUGGGGCGCCUGGAAUUGGGAUGACAGCUGACAGCGAUGAUGAGCUUGAAUUGGGAUAAAAUGGGGUUUGGGAUCAAUGUCUAAUUGCGUUGGGCAAGGUAAUCUGGACGGACGCUUGGGCUUUUGUUGGGGAACUUCCUGAAGACGGGUGUGCUUCGUUACUGGAUACGUAAGUUUACCAAGGACACUGGGCAUCGACGGCGGGAGGAACUGUGCGGGGUUUUUCUCUGUGCAACUUGUGUUUAAUCUCGAUAGCUUGGACCUCCGUCAUCUUUUUGACGGGCAAUACCUACUCACACUGGAUUGACGCUGGACUGACUGACUUCGAUUCCGGAUUAUCCCUUCUGCUGGCUAUCGGUGAGACCUUUGGAUUCCUUGACGACUACGCUUAGCUAAAGACCUCUGGACCGGAUUGGGACCCUGCUGACUGCCGUUACCCUGACUACGACCACGCUUUUCGUUCGCUGCAGGAAGGAAUAAACAAGCCUGGUUUAUUCCCCUGCUGUUUCUGAAUAGCAGAGAGGAAUCUGCCACCAGUCUGUUGUUUACAUUCUCACUCCUGCUGAUUCUCUUUUGUUUGCAUUGUUUGCCAGGCUGAAGUAAGCACUUUUGAUUUAAUCCGGAUUAUACUUCUGUUUAACCCGGUUUAUCCAUUUGAACUAUUUAAGCUCAAACUGAGCUGUUUUUUGUUACUUAUCACACUGAAGUCAAGUGUUUGCCCUGUUCUUUGUUUCCUACGGGCAUUUUUUAGUUCUGUAACCUCAAUAAACUGAGUUUUGUUUUA